AGAGGUCAAAAGUUUGAGGCUGUAGCAGAAGUGCUCAUGGUGCGGCCCUGUCAGAUUCCAGCGAAUCUGCAGAUUCUGUU
rnacentral:ribozyme from 1 species